CCAGACUCCUACGGGAGGCAGCAGUGGGGGAUAUUGCACAAUGGGGGGAACCCUGAUGCAGCGACGCCGUGUGGGUGAAGGAGUAUUUCGGUAUGUAAAGCCCUAUCGGCAGGGAAGAAGCAAGACGGUACCUGACUAAGAAGCCCCGGCUAACUACGUGCCAGCAGCCGCGGUAAUACGUAGGGGGCGAGCGUUAUCCGGAUUUACUGGGUGUAAAGGGAGCGUAGACGGCGGCGCAAGUCCGGAGUGAAAGCCCACGGCCCAACCGUGGGACUGCUCUGGAACUGCGCGGCUGGAGUGCAGGAGGGGCAGGCGGAAUUCCUGGUGUAGCGGUGAAAUGCGUAGAUAUCAGGAGGAACACCGGUGGCGAAGGCGGCCUGCUGGACUGCGACUGACGUUGAGGCCCGAAAGCGUGGGGAGCAAACAGGAUUAGAUACCCCCGUACA
rnacentral:rRNA from 1 species